UACGGAGGGUGCAAGCGUUAUCCGGAUUCACUGGGUUUAAAGGGUGCGUAGGCGGCCUAUUAAGUCAGGGGUGAAAGACGGUAGCUUAACUAUCGCAGUGCCUUUGAUACUGAUGGGCUUGAAUAUACUUGAGGUAGGCGGAAUGUGACAAGUAGCGGUGAAAUGCAUAGAUAUGUCACAGAACACCAAUUGCGAAGGCAGCUUACUAAAGUAUGAUUGACGCUGAGGCACGAAAGCGUGGGGAUCAAACAGG
rnacentral:rRNA from 1 species